rnacentral:misc_RNA from 1 species
AUGACACAAACACCUUGACACCCACUUCCAUGGGGACUAUCUUGUGGGAGAAUUGUAAGGGUUUAUGGGUCCAAUCGUUCCCCAACCAUCUACUAAUUCCCUUUCACAUGAAUAGAGCAGUACAUAAAUUAGUUUACACCACUUCAGUACCUUCAUUUCUUGUUUAUGUACACCAGGGCGGCCUUCUAAGGACAAAAUGAUUCCGAAACAAACUUAGCAAUUGAUGCCGCAUUGACCAUUUGCAGUAGCUUUUGUAGAAUCUGUUGUGAAGGGGUCGAUCCGAACCCAUAGCAAGGAGAAAAUGGAAGCAAGAAGUAUG